CUGGGCAAUGGUGGGCGCCCCUCCCCCAGCCUUGCUGCCGCUUGCAGUUUGAUCUCAGACUGCUGUGCUAGCAAUCAGCGAGACUCCGUGGGGUAGGACCCUCCGAGCCAGGUGGGAGAUAUAAUCUCUUGGUGCGCUGUUUUUUAAGCCCGUCGGAAAAGCGCAGUAUUAGGGUGGGAGUGACCCGAUUUUCCAGGUGCGGUCUGUUACCCUUUUCUUUGACUAGGAAAGGGAACUCCCUGACCCCUUGCGCUUCCCACUGACCUGCGCCCACUGUCUGGCACUCCCUAGUGAGAUGAACCCGGUACCUCAGAUGGAAAUGCAGAAAUCACCCGUCUUCUGUGUCGCUCACCCUGGGAGCUGUAGACCGGAGCUGUUCCUAUGCAGCCAUCUUGGCUGCCACCUCUGAAAUGUCUGCAUUCCUGUAUCUGCUCUGUGCCCUUUGCUCUGCUUGGCCUGGCUGAAGGAAGCACCUCUACUCCACCACCAUCUGGGCCUUUCCUAAACCUUGUCACCUGAGAGCCAUUCUCAACCUGCAGAACUUCCAGGACAACACUUUAACUUGAUUACUUCCCCAACCUAUGCCCUCCAGCCACCAGAAAGAAGCCUUCAGGAGUCCCUACAGCACCCACGCAGGCCCUCUCCAGUUUUCCCCCUCCCUUCCUGAUGCUGUGAAAACCACAGAAUAAAUGUUUAUCACUUUCAAAAAUAUUAUAUAUAUAUAUAAUAUAAAUGAAUUUUUCUUUUUACUGCACAUAAUAUAGUACCCUGUUCACCUCUCAGAUAAAUAAAUCAUAAUUAUCAUUUUC
rnacentral:lncRNA from 1 species